rnacentral:rRNA from 1 species
UACAGAGGGUGCGAGCGUUAAUCGGAUUUACUGGGCGUAAAGGGCGCGUAGGUGGUUAAUUAAGUGAGAUGUGAAAGCCCCGGGCUUAACCUGGGAAGUGCAUUUUAAACUGAUUGACUGGAGUACGAGAGAGGGUGGUGGAAUUUCCGGUGUAGCGGUGAAAUGCGUAGAGAUCGGAAAGAACGUCAAUGGCGAAGGCAGCCACCUGGCUCGAUACUGACACUGAGGCGCGAAAGCGUGGGUAGCGAACAGG